rnacentral:lncRNA from 1 species
GAGGCGGGAGCCCCGGAUGCGGUUCUGGCUCGCUGAGUGGCGGUAAAGUACCGCGGGUGUCGUAAAAAGGCCGCAGUGGCAGCGCCCUGGCCCACGGCUGGUAGCCCAUUUUGGACGCCGUCCUCGUUAGGAAAAGUUGGGGCAACCUGUUGCUAGUCCGGUCGUUGGUGACAGCGAGGCUUCCGCGCUCGCUGCUGGUGGGCAGCCUCGGCGCGCCCCGCGGGCUGGAAGAGGCGGAGGCGUGAUGCGGCCCGUGGACGCGGAUGAGGCGCGAGAGCCCCGCGAGGACCCGGGGAGCCCAUUGAGCCCCGCGACCCGCGCCGGCCGCGAGAACCUGGCUUCCCUGGAACGCGAGCGCGCCCGGGCGCACUGGCGGGCCCGCAGGAAGCUGCUGGAGAUACAGAGCCUGCUCGACGCCAUCAAGAGCGAGGUGGAGGCGGAGGAGCGGGGCGCCCGGGCCCCAGCACCCAGUCCGCGCGCGGAGGCGGAGGAGCGGGUGGCUCGGCUGUGCGCCGAGGCGGAGAGGAAGGCCGCGGAGGCCGCGCGGAUGGGCAGGCGGAUCGUGGAGCUGCACCAGCGGAUCGCCGGCUGCGAGUGCUGCUGAGCCGGCGGGGCCGCGCGGGUCUGGAGCGGAGCCCGGCGGGGAGUGUCCCGCGUGGAAGGCGCUGGGUAGGCAGGGAGGGGAGCGCAGAGCUGUGCCACGCUCUCCGCCGUGUUGGUUUCAUUCUUUUUUCAUAGGUAAUUAGAGAAAAUAAUUGGUUAUGUUGUUGUAAAGAGUCAUGACCACUUAAAAGUAUUUGCAGGACAUAGGCCUGCUCGGUCAGUAGGUGGGGGGAGGGAGGUGUGAAGCGGAGGUAUAUGCUGGAAACGUGUGAAUGUUGUUACGAGAUUGGAGCGUGUGCGAUGACCUUCCUGCAGAUGGAAGCAUUGUGCACAGGCGGUUGGGUUUGUUUGACCCCCGGAUAUGAGAAUAUCAAGCUCAAAAUUUAUGUUGUGAUGAUGAAUUUCUCCCACUUGUACUUUAGGUGGCCACCUGACGAACUGUGUUCAUCUGAUAAGGACUCCUGGCUGCUUGGACAGGCUCAAACCAAGAGAGCCUUUCGUUUUGUCUCCCCUGUUUUUCUGCCUGCGUUUUCUCCGCAUUAGCCACUCAAUUUCCAGUACCAUCCUGGUGGAUGACUUCAGCAUUAGAUGGUCAGGUGUAUCUUUUUAUUAAUAGGCGCAUUCAGUUUGGAAAAGACAGCUUUUCAUUAAUGUCCCGCGUAAAGGAAUAUGGCCUAUACAGUACGUACGCUGCGCGUGAUCAUAUUUGUUCCUGUGAUCUCGUUGUAUUUUCAGUUUGGAAAUAUACCCGUGUGCUUUGCUAUUUUUUUAUGCUUCCUGGAAUUUGGGGACUUAAUGAGACACUUGAGGUUAGAGUUCUGCAAGUGAGAAGACACCACAUGGUUGCAGCUGCCACAUCAAGAAGCCAAGCUCCUGUCAAAGUUGUGAAUGCGACUUUGGAUGAGAUUGAGAAGGCCCGGUGGACAGUUGGUCUUGAAGAGUGGCAGUGUGUGGAUUUGAGAACCUCUGCAGACCAUCAGAUCAAAGGAGGGAGAGCUGUUUUGGGUGUUGUGUUUUUUUUGUUUUUAUAGCAUUUUGCUUUUUCCUGGAAUGUAAUUUUCCUAUGGCAUGUUAACUGGUGCACAUCGUGUAACCUGUCUGGUGAGCAACCUACAAUUGGGAUGAGUUCUAGGUACAUGUGUUUGCUGACUUUGGGAUAAACAACUUUGUUAUAAUACAGUCUCUGCCACAGAUGCAUGUGACCUCUUCAGGGGCCCAGAGUGGCUGAGGAAGGAAAGCUUCAAGCUAGCCAUGGGGGUCCCAAACCGUCAUUCCAGGCUUAGAUGAUGUCUAGCCUAGGUCAUCAGAGCCCAGACUCCACAGAGACUAAAAUCAGAGCUCUGUCUUGUUAUGAUAAAGUUCAUUUGCUUGGAAAAACAAAUGCUGAAAGGCAGUUUUUAGAAUCUUUGUGCAGAUGACCAAAGCAAUUGACUUGGCCAAG